UGGUGGCGGCAUGGUGCGGCAACGAAGACGAGGGUUUGGGUGGGUUGGGAUCAGGAAAUAGCGCGAGCGCGUAGCAGAUUAGGAGGGUGUGGGUUCCUGUGCUUGCGCUUGCUGAGGUGAGUGCUACCGGGAGACCUCUUCGCCGAUUUCGCCCAUCAGCGCCACCUGCGGCAGCAUGGUGCGACGGCAGUUUUGGGAGCGCGACUAACCAUUUAUUUUCUUUUGUUUUUAUCCAGUUCAACGCAUGUCCGCGCGAGCACCACCACCCCUCUUCCCUUCUUUUCAUUUUUUUUAUUUUUACAAAGUUGAAAAGUAACUUCUGGAAAACCAAAAGAUGGAAAAAUUAAAUAAAAUUUGGAAUAAUGGAAAGUUGGAAAACUAAAAGUUUAGAAAAGUAGAAACAAAGACGAUGAAAAAAGACAAAAAGGUAAAAAAAACAUAUUCAACUAGUCUCAAAAAUGGGUUCUCGAAAUCUACGCCAAAUAGUCGUCCCCGUACUAUCACCCAAAGGAUAUAGAGGAGGAGCAUGAAGGCGGUAGAGGAUUGCCUGGCCAGAUCCAUGAUUAUCGGAUCAGGAAUUCUAUCCAAUGUCUAGUCAAGUCGUCGGUGGUGAUAGAUCAAGAGAAGUCAAAGAGAACCAACCUCCAGAGGCGGCGGCAGGAGACAUUGGAGGAACGGGAGAGGGAGGCGGCUAGGGUGAGGGUUCUGGAAUUUUGAGGACCGGGGUCCUGACUACAAAUUUGGUGUUAGUGG
rnacentral:lncRNA from 1 species